GCCCGAACCCACAAGCCAUGAGAUCACGACCUGAGCUGAAGUCUGACACUUAACCGACUGAGCCACCCAGGCGCCCUGGAUUUUUUUUUUUUUUUUUUUUCCUUAAAGAAGACACUUUACAAUCAUCUACUGUGAAACUGUAGGGAUGAAUGCACAAAUCUAUGGCCUCCCUAUACAUGUGACAUUGUCUUUCUGCAUAUGAAUCUGCACAACUGUACAAUUCAGAGUGGAAAGGAGCAUGGAGUCCGCCUGCAGCGUGUGCCAGGCACUUUCCAAGCACUGACUGUUGAGUCUGAACCACCACCCUAUGAAGCAGGUAUUUAGACCUCAAUUUUACAGACGCAGAAAACGUUAGGACUUCUGGGGCAGAGGGGAAGAGAGGAUACGAUCAGGAAAUAAAGGGCAAAGGGGGCUUCAUCUGUAUUGGUAAUGCAGACCUAACCUGAACAGUAGGCUCACGGGUGUGUUAUAGCUUCUUUGCAACUGGCACAGGUCCAAAGUGUUAUACGGUAAUUUAAAUCACUUGUGAAGAUGCAGCGAGAUUAACUAACUGACCCCAAACCAUACACCCAGACAGAACUCUGUUUAGAACCAGGACACUUAAGUUCUACUAGGUUAUGUCUCUGACAUUUAGCACAGCAUCAUAGUAAGGUAUAAAAUCUAGAAAGUACUUGAAUACGUGAAGAUUGAUUCCAGAACCAGACUAUCUUGUGACACCCUCUAUACAUCUAUUUUACCCAGAGAACAGCCUGAAUUUCCUAUUACUAUAUACAAUGGUGGAAAGCAGGACUCUCGUAGCACCCAAGUCUACUAAAUUGGUAAGGAUCACUGCUUAGUCUUCAGCCACUUACGACUUCACCAAGGCCUCAUUAAAUAAACAUUUUCUUGUCACGUUAGUUCAGUCUGGCCUGUGGCUUAUAAUUACAGCUGCAAACUUAAGAGCCAGAUUCUUCUGAUCUGAGAUGCCCUUUAUGCAGCAGUACUUUCAUUACUUACUGCGUGUGCGCGUGCACACACGUGUGGUGGAAUGUGUGCGUGCGUGUGGGAAGGUGGAAGUGGGAGCCGAGGAUGGAAUUACCAUUUACUGAGCAUCUAUUAUGAGCCUGGUAUGGCGCUAAGCAUUUCCCUUGUGCUACUCUAUUCAAUCCUCUUCAAUCCUCAGGGAUAUUGGCAUACUUUCUGAAAAGUUUUUAUGAGGAUGCACAGGUUAGUAAGACCUACAAGGUCAGCGGGAGUUUACGUGUAGGCCGAGAGAGACAACAAUACAAUCAACGUUCAGGUGUAACCAGGCAGAAGGGCAAGGGGAUAGUUACGGCAGUGGGGGAAGCAGGCUGAGGGCACUUGAGAUAGGGUGGAACAUCUGCUCAGAUCAAGGUUUUUAGACACGUGUUUUUUGAGGAGGGAACCGGGGACUUCUUUACUUCAAAGUCUUCUGGUUACUAACUUUUUCCUUAAGCAGGAAAAGGCCCCGGGGAGACAGUCUCUCUAACAAGCAUGUCACCGGGGACCAUCAGCCACAGUCCCUAUCGCUUCGGCACAAGGCCCCAAGACUGCAAGUUGCCUCCAGGGCUAAGGUAUCUCCAAGGCCGACCUUCCACAGGGCUUACUGCCAUUCACUCAACACCGAUCUUUUCUGCUAAUGAACAAGCUGUCUCCAUGGACCUUUUUAUUUAAAACAUCACUCAAACCUUCUAAAAUCAGUGUUAGAGCUGAAAAGGAACUCUGAAGACACCUCACCCAACCUCACCCUGACUGAACACACCGAGGUCCCAGGAGGUCCCAAGGAUGGACAGUACUGUGAAUCACCUGCAAAGUCAGGACCAAGGACCAAUCCUCCAUACCAGGGGGCCAGGGAAACUAGGUUUAUCAAGGGCGUAACAGGUGCCAGAUACUUGACAUUUACUCUCAUUCAAUCCCAAGGCAGCAGUGGCCCCAUUUCAUAGAUGAUGAAACAGAUUCAGAAGUUAAGUAACUUGCCAAGUGGCCAAGUAUGUGACAAGGGCAAGAAUGAAACCAGUCCUGUUUAGCAACAACAUCACGCCCUCUUUACUGAAUCUUGAUGUCAAAAACUUCCAGACUUCAGUGCUCCUCAACCAAUCUUAAUCCAUCCCAUUUCACAUCUCCAUCAACCCAGCAUUAAAUUCAAAACACACGAGACCUAAGCCAUCUAACACAGACGGUGUCGGUUUUUGAGAAGCAUAUUGCUCAGGCUGCAGGGACAUUUCAUGUUUAAAUGUUUUUAUUUAAAAAAAAAAUUAAAGACCUUCAUGGCACAACUUCUUCCCAGCACAGUUAUGUUUUAGUUAUACCAAUUACAAUACAAUUACAACCAAUAAAUCAAAGGGACGAGGGGGAGCUUCUGACUUCAAACUUAAAAAAAAAAAAAAAAAAAAGAGGGGGGCACUUCAAACAAAGUUAAAAAUUACUUAAAAAACCUUUCAGAGUAAUUGCCAACACAACUGUCUUAUACUGGCAUUGCGUUUCCUGCCAUCUAGUCACUGCAGACACAGGCAGCGC